UUUCACAUUUUAAGAAACUGUCAAAAUAUUUUACAAUGUAGUUUUACCAUUUUUAUUCUACAGUGUUUAAGAGUUCCAGUUCCUUCAAAUUCUCACUAACUCUUAGUAUGAGCACUUUAAAAAAUAUUAGUUAUUCUAACAAGUUCAUAUUGUUAUCUCAUAGUUUCUCAUUUCCUUAAUUACUAAUUAUGUUGAGCAUCUUUUCAUGUGAGUGUUUGUGAUUUGUUAUCUAUUUUGGUGAAGUAAGGUUUUAAAUAUUUUUCCCAUUUUUGGUUUAUGUUAUUGUGUUUUGAGAGUUUUUAUGUAUUCUAAUGAAAGUCCUAUAUCAGAUGUACCGCUUGCAACUGUAUUUCACAGUCUUUAUCUUGUUUUUGAUUUUGUAGCUAUGUGUUUUGAAGGAGUUCUUAAUUUUGAUGAAGUUCAAUUUAUAUAUCAGGCUGAUUUUUCUUGAUUUUUUCCCUCUUCUAUUAUGGGUCAUAGUUAGAUGCUUCUUUGCACACCUGGGACUAUUUUUAUUGGAUGCUAGACUAAGGAUUUUACCUUCUUAGGAGCUUGAUAUUUUUGUAUUCCUAUAAACAUAUUUGGGCUAUCUUGUGGGAUGAAGUUAAAUUACUUGGAAAUAUUUGAUCCUUUUGGUAUUUUCUUAAAUUUUGUUCAUGGGUCCAAGGCAGUGGUUUAUUUAGGGCUAAUUUUAUUUUGGAUUUGAAGUAAAAUUCUUCUAAGUUCUCUACUUUUGCCUCUUAAAUUAGGAGGUUUUCACAUUGACUAGGGAUUUUGUUCCUUGUAUACUUUAAAAUAGUUAUUUCCUGGGUGUUAGGUAAUUUUCUCACAUGUGUACUGAUCCCAUGUAGAUUUCCAGAGUGCCCUUUCUUUGCACUUGUCCUGUGUUUGGUACUCUACCAAUGAAUUCUAGCUGCCCUGGCCCCUCCAGACUUGUGGGGGAGACUACUGGGCUCUGCCUUUUCCCUAUUUUUUUCCCCAUACCAUGACCAUUGAUAUGCCCUUGAGGCAGUAAGCAGGGGCAAUUAAAGAGAUUCUUAUGUUUAUUUACCAUUUCUCUGGAAUCACUGAUGUUGUAUAUUUUGAAAAUCAUUGUUUAACGAAUACUUUUUCUUUUUUUAGGUUUGUUCAGGCAAAAGGGUAUAUUUGGUCAUUGUUACUUUUUGCUUCCCAAAGCAGAAGACCUAUUGAAUUUCAAAUAUUAAAAAUAAGAAAUAUAUAGGCAUAUAAGUAUUAUUUCUUAUUAGUUAUGUACUACCUUGUUUAAUUGACUUACAACUACUUUAACAAAGGUAUACAGUGAAACAGGUUUUUUUUAAUAUAAAGUACAUAAAUCAAAUGGUGGUUGUGGAAAUUACAUUGAAUUGUUAGAGGUCUUGAUUUUAGUCACAAAAUGUAAGUGUCUGAUAAAGUAUAUGUGAUAGGAAAUAGUACACUCAAAUUAAAAUUCUUUUAUUCAUCAUGCAUUUCCAGGAAUAUUUUUCUUUCACAUAGGAGGUCUUUUGGAAGAAACAGUAUUCUGUGGAUUGCCAGUGUUUAAGUAAACCUAAAGAAAACAAAUCAUGCUAAAGUUAAACUUAUUUUAAAGUGCAAUUUUCCCUGUGGUGUAUGAGCAUAAACAUCCUCUGGUACAGAGCUUCCCAGUAUCACAGAACGCAGUGGCAUGCCACAAAUGCGUGAUGGAUAUGUCUGAGAUCUUGACCUUUGUAGUCCUUGACAUGGUCUGGUAGAGUCUUGAGAAGACUGAAUUAUAUAGAAUUUCCUUUAGCAAUAAUCAGCCUCCACUUAUCACAUUGUGCCUUACGAAUAAUAUGUUUCCUACUUGUUCUGUGAUGCAGAAAAGGUCAGGACACACAAGUCCAGAAGUUUCCCACUGUUUGCUGUAUCUUCUGUAAUGCUGUGCUCAGUUUAUAAAUUUGCAGUGCUUUUCUUACUUCAAGGGAUGGCUGACUUGCUUAAAAAGGAAUUUAACCAAUGUUAAAGAGAAGAAAGGGCUUUCUGCAGCUGUCUUUUUUCUGAACUCUAUGGCCUUAGAGAGACUUUCUUGUUAUAGUAAAAACUCGAUGUGUAUGUCUGUAUAUCUAUAGACAUAUAGAUAUAUAUAUAUUUACAUACAUAUAGCUGUAGAAUUCAAAAUAUUCAUGAUAUAAAUCAAUUAUGCAUAUACUUUGCAAAAAAGGAAUCUCACCUUUUAAAAUUUUCUCAAGAGAAUGUGUUUAUUUUAUGACAGAUAUUACAGCAUUUCCAAAUACUAAGUAGAUGACUGUGAUACCAUUUAGUUUACCAGUUCCAUACUUUAGCUUUCCCCUUAGAAAUCUAUUCAUAAGUCUAUUUUAGUAAAAUCUGUUUGUUUGUUUGUUUGUUUGUUUUUGUAAAAAAGAAAGCUUGAACCAUGAUACAUAGGAAAUGAAAGGACUUUAUUAUUCAGCCUAUGUAGGUUUUUCAAAUUUAAGAGUACUGUGGAAUAGUUUUUCAGUACUACAUUUCACAAAUUCUAGCUGUGCUCUGUUUACAGAUAUGGUCUGUGGUAUUUAAAGGGGUUAAUUUUUUUACCCUCCAUUUUGUAGUAGAAUAUGUAUCUCAUAGGAGUAGAAGUUUUGUUUCAAGUUCUUAUUUUAUCUAUGAAGGGAAAGGAAGCUAAGAGAACAGGCUGGAGCAGAGAUUUUUAUACUUUUUUUUUUUUUUGGGGUUGCACUAUGAAAUAUGGAAGUUUGCAGACCAGGGAUCGAAUCAGAGCUGCAGCUGUGACUUACACCAAAAUUGCAGCAACGCAAGAUCCUUAACCCAAUAGUGGAACGAGAAUUGAACCUCAGCAAUGACCUGAGCUGCCUCUGAGACAGCUCUGGGUCCUUAACCUGCUGUGCCCUAGUGGGAUAUCUGAGAUAGUUUUAAUUUCUGACUCUACCUUUUGGAUUUUAUAAUUAUGGAGUUCCCAUCAUGUCUCAGUGAUAAACAAACCUUACUAUUAUCCAUGAGGAUGAGGGUUUGAUCCCUGGACUCAUUCACUGGGUUAAGGAUCCAGCAUUGCUAUGAGCUGUGGUGUAGGUUGGAGAUGUGGCUUGGAUGCCAUGUUGCUGUGGCUGUAGUGUAGGCCAGCAGCUGUAGCUCAGAUUAGACCCCUAGCCUGGGAACCUCCAUAUGCUGU
rnacentral:lncRNA from 1 species